rnacentral:tRNA from 1 species
GCGGGAGUAGCUCAAUGGCAGAGUCAUUGGCUUCCAACCAAAAGACGAGGGUUCGAUUCCCUUCUCCCGCUCCA